rnacentral:rRNA from 1 species
CCCGCUGAGUUUAAGCAUAUCAAUAAGCGGAGGAAAAGAA